GUGAGCUUCAGACUGAUCCCUUUCACUUAGCCUACCCUAUGGAUAAACUUCAAGACUUCUGUGGACUGUAGACCACCAUUCAAUGCAUUUCCAUUCCAUUUACACUUAAAACGUUUGUUUUACAGGUUCUGGCAGACUUUCCUCACACCACAGCUGAGUGUUGACUACCUGUUAGAUCUUUCCCUGAAAUCCAACCUCGCUUCUCUAUCGCCCCUUCACUCUUGAAUUUCUGGAGCCUGGAGAAUGUGCUCUGUAGGGUCUUUGAUAAUCACCCUAACCGCAUCCAGAUCUUGCUCGCAGUAGUGAAAUAUAAAACCAAGCUUCAUAAGCCACGCAAGUGUCUGUGUUCUUCCUGGCUGGCAUCUCUGGAUCCCUCUAAAGGGGAGCUUGAGUUUCCCUGAUGACCCAGACACCCCUGUGAUAAUGGCUGGGCCAGGGACAGGUGUGGCUCCCUUCAGAUCUGCUAUACAGGAGGAGAGAGCUACUCAAGGGAAGACGGGUGAACGCGGUACCUUCAAGCAGAGCCGGCCCAAGGCAUAAGCGAACUAAGCAGCUGCUUAGGGCCCCGGUGGCCACCAGGGGGCCCCAAAGAGCACAUGAUUUUUUUUUUCUUUUUUUUUGUGAUUAUACUGUCAAUGGACAAUGGUAAUUAUACAAAAACACAAUAUUAUGUUAACGGACUGCAGGAUGCAAGCACAUUCAGACAGCAAAACAGCAAUGUCACAAAAAAGGACAUAUCCUCUGGUGCAAAGAAAAGAAGAAAACAGAGGAAGAGAAAAAACAGCAUGAUAAAGGUCCAUCUUCUGCAUGCGUGGAGCACUUCCCAACACGUGCAUCCACUGAUGUGGUCAUCUAUCCUGUCUGACUCAGAAAGGACUGAUCUGGUAAGCAGAGGGCCACUGCCUAUAAAGGAAAACUUCACAUUCCCUGAAAAACCUGAUGGCCGAAGCUUCCACUACACCUACAGAAAGUUAAUUAAUGGGGAAAAAAGUGGAGCUGCUCACUUAUUCAAAAAUAAAUUAUACUGUCUACAGCUUCUGCUGCAAAUUGUUCUCUAGGAAGUACACAAAACUGGUAACAGAGGAUCAACAGGAUUGUCUAAAUAUAGGUGUGCUACUGUUACAUUUAAAACCGUAGAAGGGUAAAAUCAUGCCAGGCAGACAUUGGUAUGUUGUAAGCAACACAGCUACAACUAAUACAAUUGAUAAGGGGUGUGUUAGAUUUAUAGUGUGCGAAUAAUCAAGCAUUGACAAUAUUCAAUCAUAUUGGCGGCACAAUCAUUUAUGGGGCUUAGGGCCCCAUAAAGGCUUGGGCCAGCCCUGCCUUCAAGCAUUUGGAAAUUGCUGCCAAGGAUGAACCAGUGUUGUGAUCCACAAUUCUGAGGUUUUUGCUGAUUUCUUUUGAUUUUCACAUGAUGUCAAGCAAAGUGACACUGAGUUUGAAGUUAGGCCUUAAAAUACAUCCACAGGUACACCUCGAAUUAGCCUAUCAGAAACGAAUUGGCUAAUUUUCUAAAGGCUUGACAUAAUUUUCUGGAACUGAUAGCACUUAUAGGCACAGCUAACAUUUAUGUAAACGUCUGACCCACUGGAAUUUUGAUAUCGUCAAUUAAAUAGUAAACAAACUGUCUGUAAACAAUUGUUGGAAAAAUUACUUGUAUCAAGCACAAAGUAGAUGUGCUAAAUGACUUGCUAAAAACUAUAGUUUGCUAAUAUGAAAUCUGUGAAGUGGUUAAAAACUGAGUUUUAAUUACUUCAACCUAUGUGUAUGUAAUCUUCUGACUUCAACUGUAAGAACAGUUGUGCUCAUGACUACUUUUCAACAUAUUUUCUUUUCUCAUUUCAUGUAUAUACUAACAUAUGUAUGGUUGUGCUACAGCAUUUAUGUUUGUAUUAGACUAUAUAUAAAUGAGCAUUGCAUAUGUAAAGUGCAGAAAUGAGCUAUAUUUACAUUUUCAUCUAGGAAUGCAAAGCACAUGCCCACAGGUGUAUGUGAUGCACUGAAAGGGAUUUUUGAAAAUGAGGGGGGCAUGUUUGAAAAUCAGACACAGAAAAUAUUGGAUUCCAUGGAGAAAGCCAAGUGCUUUCAGAGUGAAACCUGGUCCUGAUCUCUCCCUUACAUUCCUCUUAUAGCCUUAAUAACCCAGUGUAAAAGAGAGCUUGAAUAGUGUUUUAUACUGGUAACUCUUGACUCUUCCACCAGGUUUGGUCAAUCCGACCACUCUCCUUCCAAGCAAAUAUACCUUUGCUUUGGAAAUGUAAUUGUGGAUCCUGGUACCAUAACUGACCAGAAUAUUAUGCAUUAUUGGCCUCUGACUCAACAUUUUAUUUAAUUGAAUGACAAAGUGAUAAUGGUAAUAAAUGGUAUUCAUUUGUAAUGUUCCCUUUAAAUCUUGUUUAAAUAAAUCUUAACUGAAAUAGAGGA